rnacentral:rRNA from 1 species
AUUCCAGCUCCAAUAGCGUAUAUUAAAGUUGUUGUGGUUAAAAAGCUCGUAGUUGGAUCUCGGCGGUCUGAGGGCGGUUCGCUUCAGAGCGCUACUGCCCUAUAGACCGUAGUUUUGCCAGAGGUCUCAGGGUGCUCUUAACCGAGUGUCUUGCGAUGCUGGCAGGUUUACUUUGAAAAAAUUAGAGUGCUCAAAGCAGGCUUUUACGCCUGAAUAUUCGUGCAUGGAAUAAUAGAAUAGGAAGUCGUUUCUAUUUUGUUGGUUUCGAACACCGGAGUAAUGAUUAACAGGGACAGUCAGGGGCACUCGUAUUCCGCCGAGAGAGGUGAAAUUCUCAGACCAGCGGAAGACGAACCACUGCGAAAGCAUCUGCCAGGGAUGUUUUCAUCA